UACGUAGGCAGCGAGCGUUGUUCGGAGUUACUGGCGUAAAGCGUGCGUAGGCGGUUUUGUAAGUUUGGUGUGAAAUCUCCCGGCUCAACUGGGAGGGUGCGCCGAAAACUGCAAGGCUGGAGUGUGGGAGAGGUAGGCGGAAUUCCUGGUGUAGCGGUGAAAUGCGUAGAUAUCAGGAGGAACACCUGUGGUGUAGACGGCUUACUGGACCAUGACUGACGCUGAGGCACGAAAGCGUGGGGAGCGAACAGG
rnacentral:rRNA from 1 species